UCCAAAGGCUAAGCUCAUCCACAGUGGAAAACUCAUAGCUAAAGUAGCCACAUGGGACUGAGACUUCAAGGGCUCCAGGCCCUGGUCUGGCACUUCAUACACAACACCUCAGAUGACAAACCACCCUAAAGGGAAAGCCCCGGCAGAGGGCCAGUCACCUGGGGACUCAGCUGGGGACGCCUCCUCCUUGCCGUCUCCCAGGGCCCCUUCUGCGCACCCUGCUCUUCACCCCGCUCCUGGUUUGCCACCCAGAGCCUCGAGAACCCUCUCCCCGGCCCUUGGCAGCCUCCACUCUCAGCCCAGGUUGUGGCGACGAGAGACGCCAGGACUUAUCUCCUGAUAAACUCCAGCGUGACUUACGGCCUGCCCAACCUCCCGUGUGUGACAUCUGCAAUCCUUGGCAUGUUUGUUUUACAGAAUAAUGCCACCAGCAGGUCAUCUACUGUCACUGGGAACAAAGAAGAAAAAGAAGAUGAAAAGCAGCCUCCUGGUGCCCCAGUGCCCCAAACCACAGCGACACCCCUGGUGGUUUGGGGGGAGAUGGCCUGGUGUCAGCCCACAGGUUGGCCUGCAGAUGUCGCAUGACUCAGGCAAGGUGGGCAGUGGCUCUUUCUGAUGUUGAUAGAAACGUCUCUUUUUUUCCUUCGCGAAAGAGCCACACACGUUAGCUGUGGAAUAAUUAUAACAAACAAGAAGCCAAGGUGCGCCUGUCACCAGCCUCCUGGACGCCAUCCCGAGACACCUUGGGAGGGGCACACAGAGCAUGCUUUUUCUGCAGAGCUGGGGACCAAGCCCAGGACCUCGGCCGAUAGGCAAGCUCCGUGCCGCUGAGCUACAUCCGCAGCCCCCUAACCUGCCCCCUCUCUGAACUUCAGCCCCCUCACCUGGGUGACUGACUGCCAGGCCGCAGUCUUCCUCAGUGGCUGGACAAGCCAACCCUGGUUCAGGGCCUUUGUCUUUUUCAUCUGUAAAAUGGGGAGGUCGAAGAGCUCUGCCCACCAGGGAGGGGAUCGCAGCCUCCCUCCUCUGAGGCCUCCCUUCAUCCUCAGUCUGAGGCUGGCAGCUGUGACCAACACUCGGGGGACCCCUGCCAGGCCCUGUUCUAAGCACGUCAUUUAAUCCUCCUGAUGAGGUUGGUGUUAUUUCUGUCCCCUUUUACAGAUGAGGAAACCCAGGCACAGAGGGCUCAAUAACUUGCCGUGACUCUGUCCAUCUGCGAGGGGCAGAACCAGGACUCUAACCCCACUCCAGCCAUGGCAGGCCCGUGUUCCUCCUGUCACCAGGUGCCCGUGUCCACAGCGAGUGCAUUUGCAUGGUGACCCAGGGAAAUGCACACCGAUAUUUAAAUGGAAUAAAAAUUAGAAGAAGUAAA